GGGUUGUGAGGUUAAGCGACUAAGCGUACACGGUGGAUGCCCUGGCAGUCAGAGGCGAUGAAGGGCGUGCUAAUCUGCGAUAAGCGCCGGUAAGGUGAUAUGAACCGUUAUAACCGGCGAUACCCGAAUGGGGAAACCCAGUGUGACUCGUCACACUAUCAUUAACUGAAUCCAUAGGUUAAUGAGGCGAACCGGGGGAACUGAAACAUCUAAGUACCCCGAGGAAAAGAAAUCAACCGAGAUUCCCCCAGUAGCGGCGAGCGAACGGGGAGGAGCCCAGAGCCUGAAUCAGCAUGUGUGUUAGUGGAAGCGUCUGGAAAGGCGCGCGAUACAGGGUGACAGCCCCGUACACAAAAGCGCAUGUGCUGUGAGCUCGAUGAGUAGGGCGGGACACGUGGUAUCCUGUCUGAAUAUGGGGGGACCAUCCUCCAAGGCUAAAUACUCCUGACUGACCGAUAGUGAACCAGUACCGUGAGGGAAAGGCGAAAAGAACCCCGGCGAGGGGAGUGAAAAAGAACCUGAAACCGUGUACGUACAAGCAGUGGGAGCCCCACCACUAAGCCAGUGGUGAACUCCACAUACGCAUCCUUUGCUGAAGGCAAUGGUUAACGGAGCGAAAGCGACGUUCAACCGCAAAACAAGCAGAGGGGGCUUAGUGGUGGGGUGACUGCGUACCUUUUGUAUAAUGGGUCAGCGACUUAUAUUCUGUAGCAAGGUUAACCGUAUAGGGGAGCCGGAGGGAAACCGAGUCUUAAUUGGGCGUUAAGUUGCAGGGUAUAGACCCGAAACCCGGUGAUCUAGCCAUGGGCAGGUUGAAGGUUGGGUAACACUAACUGGAGGACCGAACCGACUAAUGUUGAAAAAUUAGCGGAUGACCUGUGGCUGGGGGUGAAAGGCCAAUCAAACCGGGAGAUAGCUGGUUCUCCCCGAAAGCUAUUUAGGUAGCGCCUCGUGAAUUCAUCUCCGGGGGUAGAGCACUGUUUCGGCUAGGGGGCCAUCCCGGCUGACCAACCCGAUGCAAACGGCGAAUACCGGAGAAUGUUAUCACGGGAGACACACGGCGGGUGCUAACGUCCGUCGUGAAGAGGGAAACAACCCAGACCGCCAGCUAAGGUCCCAAAGUCAUGGUUAAGUGGGAAACGAUGUGGGAAGGCCCAGACAGCCAGGAUGUUGGCUUAGAAGCAGCCAUCAUUUAAAGAAAGCGUAAUAGCUCACUGGUCGAGUCGGCCUGCGCGGAAGAUGUAACGGGGCUAAACCAUGCACCGAAGCUGCGGCAGCGA
rnacentral:rRNA from 1 species